rnacentral:rRNA from 1 species
GAUGAACGCUGGCGGCGUGCCUAAUACAUGCAAGUCGAGCGAACAGACGAGGAGCUUGCUCCUCUGACGUUAGCGGCGGACGGGUGAGUAACACGUGGAUAACCUACCUAUAAGACUGGGAUAACUUCGGGAAACCGGAGCUAAUACCGGAUAACAUCUUGAACCGCAUGGUUCAACAGUGAAAGACGGUCUUGCUGUCACUUAUAGAUGGAUCCGCGCCGCAUUAGCUAGUUGGUAAGGUAACGGCUUACCAAGGCGACGAUGCGUAGCCGACCUGAGAGGGUGAUCGGCCACACUGGAACUGAGACACGGUCCAGACUCCUACGGGAGGCAGCAGUAGGGAAUCUUCCGCAAUGGGCGAAAGCCUGACGGAGCAACGCCGCGUGAGUGAAGAAGGUCUUCGGAUCGUAAAACUCUGUUAUUAGGGAAGAACAAAUGUGUAAGUAAAUAUGCACGUCUUGACGGUACCUAAUCAGAAAGCCACGGCUAACUACGUG